rnacentral:tRNA from 2 species
GGAUUUAUAGCUCAGUAGGUAGAGCACCCGCCUCUUAAGCGGUAGGUCCCGGGUUCGAUCCCCGGUGAAUCCACCA